UACGUAGGUGACAAGCGUUGUCCGGAUUUACUGGGCGUAAAGAGCGCGCAGGCGGUCGUUCAAGUCGAGUGUGAAAGCCCCCGGCUCAACUGGGGAGGGUCAUUCGAUACUGAUCGACUCGAAGGCAGGAGAGGGUAGUGGAAUUCCCGGUGUAGUGGUGAAAUGCGUAGAUAUCGGGAGGAACACCAGUGGCGAAGGCGACUACCUGGCCUGUUCUUGACGCUGAGACGCGAAAGCUAGGGGAGCAAACGGG
rnacentral:rRNA from 1 species